UUUUUGGAACUAUGUUUAGGUUACAUCAAUUAGGUCCUUAAGACCACAUUCCCUCUCCUCCUUUUUAGCAGUCCCAUCUUUUCAAGUUUUUACUCUCUAUGUUAUUUCCCACUCAUUUCACACUCCCCUGUCUCCGUCUAUUUCUCUUCAUCUCCUCUAUUUGAAGCCAUUUCCCCCUUUCUUCUCCACCUAUAUUGUGUGAAUCGAUCAAGAAGCAAGGUGUGGGAGCACUAUGGAUGACGAUAAGGCCGACGCUAAGUUUGUCUGCAUACCUAAGUUUCCAUCAUGGACCACACACCUCUAUCUCUAUGUGGCUGUUUUUCUCAGCAGAAAUCAAUUGUUUGACGUUGGCUUAGUUAAAAAGGUGAGAUACGAGCAGCAUAUUUGUUACCAUACAACAAGAAGUGAUAGCAGAGUACUAUAUACUUACACAGCCAUUAGGAUUAAAGAUAAGUUAAAUUUAAAAUUAUUUUGAUUUGAUAAAUUAAAUUUAAGAAGUAAAAAUAUUUAUUAAAAAAAAAAGAUAUAGCAGGGCGGGACUCUAUGAGGGCGAAAGCGCAUCCUAUUCUCUCUGCGGUGGGCAAGGACCCGCUUGAAUUGUUUUAUACAAAAUACAAUACAAUUAUAACAUAAUAUAAUAUAAGAAUUAUAACAUAGAAAAAUGAUAUCAUAACACUAUAUCUGGUGACACUCUCUUUGAAAUGGUCAGUCCAAUGACGAAUUUUUCAAAAGAACUAUGUAAGUGCUAUAAUUUUCAAAGGGAAUAAUACAUCGUUCAAGUAGAGUACUAAUGAUAUCACCAUGACAUGAUAUCAUUUCCCUUAUAACAUAACAUAACACAAUAUAAUAUAAUAUCAUAUCAUAUGCUAAUAAUGCUUUUUUGACAAAGAAGCAACUUUCAUUCAUCCAUUAAUUAAUAAUAAUAGAUAUAUAUUAAACUUAUAUUAUCAUAUCAGUUUAAUAAUAUAAUAAUGCUAGACAGUUGAGAGUUGUUAGUAAUAAUCCCUCCUCGCAAGAUCUGAAUUUACAUAGCAUAGUAGUAUGCUCGCUCUCUCUCCCCAAACCCUAACCCAGUAAACCCCGCCCCAUCCUGUAGCUGCCGUCGGCGUGUCCGGCGGUGAUCGUCCUUCCCGUGCUCUUAAAGAUCAUUUCCCCUCUUUUUUCUUGGUCAACAAGCAUCUCUGCUAUCGCUCCUUCACCGUCGCUCUUCCACAGCCACCCCGUUUCUUCGUCCUUCACCUAACCAACUCAACGUCGAUCCACCGCUGCACAGAGCUGCAGCCCACCCUAAUUUUCUGCCGUUCAAUUCCCUCGCAGCUCAGCAUCAAUUCAAUCCACCCCUUGACAUACCGGACCAACUCAAGUGUGACUCUUUUGGAGGCCUUGAUGGUCAAUGAUUUCUCUUCCCCGCCCAAGCUAAAAACUUUGGCCUCGCGGAGGCUCAUCGUUGAUGAUUUACCGACGUAAUCCGAUGCUAUAGUCGUGUUCAAUUCUAUUUUCCCCCGGUGUCCGUUUAGAGGAGCUUCUGAUUUGGUCAGAUUGUGUAUGUGUUUGGUUAGUCUUGGAAGAUCUAUUAUUGGGUCUGAUUUGCUUGGCAUUAUGUGGUUGUGAUUGGAUUCUGUACUAUGUGCGAUCAGUUUUCCUUAUUGCCCUUCUAAUAAAGGGUAUGUUGUUACCUAGUAGCUCUAUGGCCGGGACAAACACUGACAGUGUCAUGGUCGAGAUAGACUCCGACAGUGUCGUGGCUAGGUUAGGCGCCGACAGUAUCAUGUGGUCAAUUAAUGUAUAUUAUGUGUACUAAUUAAUAAAAUAUAUCCUUUCCAAAAAAAAA